rnacentral:rRNA from 1 species
UACGGAGGGGGCUAGCGUUGUUCGGAAUUACUGGGCGUAAAGCGCGCGUAGGCGGACCUGCAAGUCGGGGGUGAAAGCCCGAGGCUCAACCUCGGAACUGCCUUCGAUACUGCGGGUCUCGAGUCCGGGAGAGGUGAGUGGAAUUCCUAGUGUAGAGGUGAAAUUCGUGGAUAUUAGGAAGAACACCAGUGGCGAAGGCAGCUCGCUGGGACGGUACUGACGCUGAGACGCGAAAGCGUGGGGAGCGAACAGG